rnacentral:rRNA from 2 species
UCUGGUGGCUAUAGCGCGGAGGAUCCACCUCUUCCCAUUCCGAACAGAGAAGUUAAGCUCCGCAGCGCCGAUGGUACUGCCUAACAUGGUGGGAGAGUAGGUCGUCGCCAGUU